rnacentral:lncRNA from 10 species
UUCAACUGUUUGGUAACAACACACUGCUUUUCAAAACUGCUGUAAUAGUUUACAGUCCUCCGGCAGUUUAUGAUGGUUUUCAUCACUUCAAAACCUUGCCAGCACUUGGUACUUUCAGACUUUAAUUUUAUUCAUUUUGUGGGUGUGAAAUGGUAACACAAAUAUAAGUUAAUUUGCAUUUCUCCUGGUGUUAAUGACAUUAAGCAUCUUUUCCUAUUUUUAUAUCCCAUUCAGGUUUUCUAUUUUGUGGUGCCUGCUUUUUUUUCCCCCCUCAUUUUUCUCUUGGGCUUUUUGUUUUGUGAGAAUUCCUGUAACUGUAGUAUCUAAUCUCAUUAGGAAUUAUUCUAUCUCCUACAACUUCUAAGCGCAGUAACAGUGCAAGUCUGUGAUAAUCCUUCACAGGAAAAAAGAAAAAAAAAAGGGCACUGGAAGGUUUUGCUUUGCUGUUUCGUAUUAUUAAUUGGGAUAGUUUCAACUCCCACAAAGAGAAAAGCAAGGCAUGAGCACUCACCCAUGCUUAUUGACUUCCUAGGCUCUAAGUGCAGUGGGUAUUAACUGAGCGGAUUGACUACAAGAUUGCAGCCUUCUCUCGCCUUGCACUUCAUCACUCCAAACGAUGUCAUUCCCAAUGCAGGACUGACAGGCACUCAUGUCCAGCCUCGGCUCUAUAUCCCUAAUCCAUUAGUAUUGGCUCGAGGUCAGCUUUUUGAAGACAAGAUCAAUUCUAAUACAGUUACAUUGACUUCUUUGUCUAUCAGGGAGUAGAUAGAAAGUUGAGAGGGAUCAAUAAAUUCCAAACAACAAAUCAGAAAAUACAUAGCAUAUAGAAGCCAGUUAGCAUGCAUGGAUUUCUCUGUGCUAGUCAUUGAUUAAAAUAUAGGUAGUCCAGAAAUAAUGAGUUUGGAUCCAUACCUGAAAGCCAAAAUGGAAAUCAACUGUUCAAGCUACGUCUUUAGCCGAAUAGAAAAUAGGAAAUGACACAAUCCUUGGCCUUGGGAUCAAAAUCUUACAUUUUCUGGGUCAGUGUUACCAUUUCAGACCCAGUUUGUGUCUUUUUAUAAAGUGUUUUUCUCAGGCUAGUCUAAUUUCCUUGUACAGGGGAGUAUAUGGUCCUUUGUACAUAUUUUCCAGACUUCACAAAUUAUUGCCCUCUACCUGUCAACUCCACCAUCAUCAUAAAUUUCCUUCCUAUCUCUUUUCUGCCUAUAAAAACCAUCUUCAACCCAAGGCCCUGCCCAAAUCUGCAUCUUCUAUGAAGUCUUUCUUCAACUUCAUUGCUCUGAAUAGACACUCAAGCUGUCAAAAUCAUGUAGCACUUCUUAUCAUUAGCACUAAUUUGGAGCACGUCUGCCUUAUUAUUCCUGCCUUGCAUGGUUAGUUUUCUAUCUUUGUUUGUUACCCACCAAAAUAAGGACAUCUGAAAGUCUGGGACUGUGUCUGAGGUAUUGAUGUACAUCUGACACACAUAGAAUAUUGCCUGAAUAAAACUACAUGCCUAACUAAAACUCAUUCAUUCAUAUAGACAUGAGUUACUCUCAUACCUCUCAGUGACAACAUGUUAAUUAAUGUUGACCAAUCUCCUCCACUAAGAUCCUGCUCUCCUUUUAACCUGAGGAGACAAGCCUGGCAAUUUCUAUAUGUCUGUUCUGUUCUUCUUCCACCCAUCCAGACUGUAGUUUUAUCUUUUAAGGUGAGUAUUCUCUAUUAAACAAAGAGUAAUCAAGCUAAAAUAGCCUAUGUAGUCCUGCUGAAAUGUCUGACCUAACAAGCACCCUAUUUCUUCCUAAAGUCUAGUGACACAUCCUGGUAUCUGAGUUUCUUAAAUAAGAAACGCUAGUUUCUUAUUUCUAAACCUCAUUACAGAUAUCCUAAACCCUUCUAAAGGUAAGACAAUCAAGUUCUUGUAGAAUCUUGAGCUGUCUCUGAGUCUGACAACUUAUGGAGAUGAUCAUUAUUGUAAUAGUAAACAACUUCUGUAAAAAAAAAGCUUCAUAUAAUGCUUACUAUACACUAGGUACAAUUCCUAGUGCUUUAAAAAUAUUAACUCAUUGAAUUUUCAUUAAGAACUCCAUUAGGCAGGUACUAGUACUGUGCUGAAUAUUCCCAUCUCCCCCAUUCUUCACCUGUUUCAGCGCCCCCUGGAGCCUGACCUCAUCAACCAGUCUUCUUGGUUCUCUGACUCAUCAUUGAGUUCAGCCUGUAGGAGACACCAACAGUAUAUAGAGGAGAGAAAAGUCAAUAUUUUACUUCAUUAGCUGCCUUUCUGCCAGCUGCACUUUGACAAUACAUACUUUUCUCUGCCAAAGUCCUCAAUUCCAUAGCUAGCCCACUCCUACAGUUACAACUCUCCUGAGAUUCUAUUCACUACCCUCUCCCCUUGCCUCUUUAGACCUAGGCAGGCUAAGAUGUUUUUAUUAUCAAAGUACUUUACUGUUCGUUAUUAGUUUUUCUUAAGCCUGCUCACGAGUUUGUGAAUAUUCCUUUUACUAAAAUCUCUUACAUUGCCCCUUUUUAGUAUACUGUCUGACUGUCUGAACCCCAAUCAUUACAAGACAGGAAACUGAGGCACAACAAUAUUAAGUGCCUUGCUUAAGAUUAUACAACUAGUGAGUCACAGAGUAGCGUUCAGAUCCUGGCUGUGUGGUUCCACAAUAUGUUCUCUUAACAGUACACUAUGUUGUCUCUGACUCUGUGUGUCUCCAAAUGUAGCCAAACAACUGUCUUUCAACUCUGAGAUAGGCCUCCGAUUUCUCCUUGCCAGCCGAAGUCAAGAGUAAAGUAACGGCUUCUUCCUUUGCCAGGAGAGAAAGAUCAUCAGAUCUAUUUUAGAAAGAAACGUGGGCAGAGUUAACCAAGAAAAAGGAAAGUUUCCCUUUGGGCAGUGGUUUUCUUAAAAUCUUCUGGGUUCUACCGCUACCUGUUUUGCAUUUAAACAGGAGAGAUAGGAACAAAUUUAAGAAUAAUUAAGCAGAGAACAGAAUUAAAAACAAGAGACAAGUGAGUAAUAGCUAGAGCUGAAAGUCAAAAUCCCAACUGGACACGUCAAAGGCUCAACCAGUCCUUAGUUCAAACUAAAACCAAUAGUGAGCUUGAAUUUUAAUCUAGAAAGGGACUUUGGAAAGGAAACUCCCAUAAAAUUACUCAAGGUGGCUGAUGAGACAUUUCAUUGAAAUCCUACAAUAAAUCCCUCAAAUUCUACAGUUAAAUUACAAGGAACCACUGCAAAUCAGUUGCAAUGAUUCUUCCUGCAAUUCACCGACAAGACAAUAUUGUUUUAAUGCCACUAUGUAUUAAAUGCCUACUCUAGGUGAAGAACUUUAUCCACUUGCAUAUCAUUGUUAAAUUUCUCACAGCUUUGAAAAGUAUUUAAAAUUAGCCCCAUUUAUCAGGUAGGCAGUGGAGGAUCUACUUCUUAAAUUAUUUUCUUAAAAUCAAAAUAUGAGCACAGAACCAGGAUUCAAAAAUCAAGAAUGACCUUAAAUAUUGUGUGAUGGGUGUGUGUGUUAAUUAUUAUUAUACUCACAGAUGUAGAAGAACACAAUCAUUCCAAAUCUGAUGCCUUGGGAAAGAUGAAAACCACCGUGAAUUCUACUUAAGCUUUUUCCCAGUUCUACAGUACACGUGUCAUUUUGCCUGACUUUUGAGAUUAUGCAAAUGCAAUAAAAUGAAUUUUUUAUAGUUGCCUGAAAACAACCACAAGCGAGGUAAUAUUCAGCGUCACAGAUUUCCUCUUAUUCGCAUUACAACCUUUCAAGGUCAGCAUUCCUAUCUCAAAUUUUCAGAGAAGGAAAUAGUCACAGCAAGAUUAAGAACAAGACAGAUGGUAACAGAAGUCUAAAAGCCUGCGACAUCUUGAGUAAAAAGAAGAAAUGUAACUCCAAAACACCUCAGAAGACAGAAGAUUGGAAUGUAAUGUUUUUGUAUCCUGAAGGAAGAAGAAAUGGAAGUUGAGGUGUUCUUGAAGGUUUUACUAAAUUGCCUGCAUGUUCCAAUCAGCCAAGAAGAUGUCAUAGAGCAUUUUUUCUAUAGCCUGUUUAAGAAGGGCUGAGAAAAGGACAGGAGAAGAAACUGGGUGCAGAAUUGGUUUUUCCCUCUUCUUCCUACCUGAGCCAUCCAGACAGCACAGCUGCCCCACAGGACAGAGGCUGCUGCCACAGAGCCUGUUCUUUGGAUUCUGGAAGACACGGUGUAGAAUGUAAUGCUAGGGGUUUGCAAGAAUAUUACUGACAUCUUCCCAAAUGAAACCUUCGCCCUUUAUUUUAAUCAUUGUUGCCUCUGUAUCUGAAGCAUCUAGAAGAAUGAACGGUACGGAGCAGACACUCAAGCAGUAUUGGCUGAAUAAAUAAUUGACUGACGCCUUAUCAAAUCAAUACCUACUAACUUUAGAAAUUUUGGAAAAUACAUGUGUGCAUGCACAUGUGCAAUAUUACCAUCCUGAUUAUCACCGUUAACAUUUCAGCGAAAUAUUUUUGGAAGAUUCCAUACUAACGUUGUUGAAUCUCCUAAAGAGAUCAUGAUGAUUGAAUCCUGGAAAAGUUAAUCAAGGCAGUCAAGAGGGCCAGGGACAGGCAAAAAACUGAUUUGAAAGAGAAGCUGAGAGGAAACUUUAGGAUGAAUCUUUUCAAAUAAGUUCAAGCAGGCCAAUAGAAUCAUUUACUCCAGAAAAUCUCACUAAGGUGCCUUCAGGAACACAGUAUGAAGGAAAAGAAGAUUGUGUCUGACUGUAUGAAAAAAAAAAAGCUAUAGGUCUUGAAGUUUCUGUUUAUGGCAGAUAAUAUAUAGCACUUGACCUCUCUCACCCUGUAAUCUAUGAAUCUCUAUUAUUUCCCUUGAUAUGUACCAGCCUCAAAUUUGAUUCUACUUUGACUGGCAGUGAGAGUUGUUCACACUCCAAUAUUUACAGAAAACAUCAAUUUCCAGAAGCCUAGAUAUUUAUGAAUUAUAUUAGAAUUAUUUGUGUGAUAUACAGCAAAUGUAUUGCUGACCUAGUUAGAAUUCUUUCAAAAGUGCUUUGUUAGUGCAUUUGAGAAGCUUAAUGUGCAGGGUGGCCUGUUUAGAGUAGGUUCCAAUUAAUUCAUCAUGUCCAGCUAUAGUGACAGCUACUUUAAGUUUUGGGCCAAGAACAAGUUUAUUCAAUCCCAAAUCUGUACAUCCAUUCUGCCUAGAAGGUAACCUCAUUGCACGUCACCUAGCAGUGGCCACAACCCCCUGGGCUGAGCAGAUUUCUUCCCCUUCUCCAACAACCUCCCUUUGCUCAGCACAUGUCUGUAUUCUCAUUCCUGAUCAUCGCUGAUCUACUCGAAACCUUAUUUCAAAGUCCCUAAUCCUGGCCAGGAGUGAUGGCUUAUGCCUGUAAUCCCAGCAUUUUGGGAGGCCGAGGUGAACAGAUCACUUGAGGCCAGGAGUUCGAGACCAGCCUGGCCAACAUGGUGAAAACCCGUCUCUACUAAAAAUACAAAAAUUAGCCAGGCAUUAUGGUACAUACCUGUAAUCCCAGCUACUUGAGAGGUUGAGGCAGGUGAAUUGCUUGAACCCGAGAAGUGGAGGUUACGGUGAGCAGAGAUCAUGCCACUGCACUCUAGCCUGGGCAACAGAGCAAAACUCUGUCUCAAAAAACAAACAAACAAAAACAAAAACAAAACAACCUGAUAUUUUCUUUGUUCAUUAUGAUCCCAUCCAUUUUCCAAUUAGGGAGUUUCCAAAAUUAUAACUUCUCAAAUUAUUGUGCUUUGACUAACCAGUAAAUAAAUCUCUAAGCAAAAGAAUGGCUUAAGAAAAUAUGUGUGCUAGGACAGGAAAGUGCCUGGCCACAGAGCCAAAGCUCAAAAAUAUUAAAACAAUAAAGAAGAAAAAUAGAAGAUCAAAUCCACAUCAGUAAUUCAUUCAACAAAUAUUAAUUGAAGGCUUACUAUAUGCCAGAUACUUGGGUCAGGGCUGAUGGUGAGCAAAACAGAUGGAAUCCCUGCUCUGAGGAAUCUCACAGUCUACGGUGGACAGAAAUAUCAGUCAAGUAACUGAAAGAGAAAUGUAAAAUGGCAAAAUGUACAACAGUUUAGAUGUGUUACUAGUAUGACAGUAUUUGAUUAUAAGAUGUGAUAUAGCCAUAAAAUAUUGUUAAAGGAGUAGCAUGUAUUAAGGCUAUGGGAAGAGGGGAGCAGCAUUGUGUGUUUGAACAAAGGAAGGAAGGCUGGUGUGGUUGGAACUGAGAGAGAUUAGCUUAGAGAGGAAAAUAGGGACCAGACAAUUCUGGGGCUUUUAAGACAUGUUCAACUACAUGCACAGGGAAGCGGAUUUACAUAGGAUCUCAAACUGACAUUUAGUCACAUGAUUUGCCUGCACAAUUUGUCCAUACAUAGUAUUGAUACUUCUUUUAUGUUAGAGAUGCUGAUGAAAGGAAAUGAUUGAAUGGAAAUGGGGUGAGCUAGUCUGUGUAUUGAACUUCAACACAAGGUCCUGAUAUGAGUGCUUCAAACCCAAUACCUUGCAUUCUUCUUCCCACCUGGUUUCUUUUUAUUUUUAAAUUUCAACUUUUAUUUUAGAUACAGCAGGCCCACGUGCAGGCUCAUUGCAUGGGUAUAUUGUGUGAUGCUGAGGUAUAGUGUACUCAUCCUAUCACUCAGUUAAUGAGUAUAAUACCCAUUAGGUAGUUUAGCAAUACAAUCCCACCUCCCUUCUGCCCCCUCAGUAGUCCCCAGUGUCUAUUGUUCCAAUAGUUAUGUCCAUGUGUGCUCAGUAUUUAGCCCCCACUUACAAGUGAGAACAUGCAGUGCUUGGUUUUCUGUUCUUGCGUUAAUUCAGUUAGGAUAAUGCCCUCCAGCUGCAUCCAUGUUGCCGCAAAGGACAUGAUCUCAUUCUUUUAUGGCUGCAUAGUAUUCCACGGUGUAUAUGUACCACAUUUUCUUUAAAAAAAAAAAUAGUUUUCUGUGAGUGAGUUUAGCAUGCAGUGAUGCACUGCAUCAUCUUUUGUUUGUGGUUGCAACAACGUGUCGCUGUACGCUGUCCUGUGGCGUUAGCUAGAGGUGGCCCCUUGAAAUUACUUAUGUCUCCCAGUUGAUAAUCACAGUAGAAUUAGCUGGAGACAUUCACAGAGAUGUCCUGUCACAUAUCUGAUUUUCAGGAGGUCUAGAGUUACUGUGGAGGAAAACAGAUUUGAAACUUGGUUUUGACUCAUGUCUGGAAAAGUAUAGAAAAAAUGCAAUUGGCAGAAUUCAGAUUUUAAAUGUGGCAAGAGCCUGAGGGUAUUAGAAUUCAAAAUUUUGGAGAGAGAGGGUGCUAUAGUAAAGCACAAAUACUGCAUCUUUUAGAGGCCCAUCCACUCUGCUUGAGACUCACACUUCAAAGAGGGGUUUGUGGAGGGUAUUCUCCAUUCGACAGAAAGGUGGAGCUGGAGAAACGUGAGAAAUAAAGCAGAUUAAGUCAAGGGGUCUUAAAAGUUAGGAAAGUAGGCUGGGCACAGUGGCUCAAGCCUGUAAUCCAGUGCUUUGAGAGCCCAAGGCAGGGGAAUUGCAAGGUCAGGAGUUCGAGACCAGUCUGACCAACAUGGUGAAACCCCAUCUCUACUAAAAAUACAAAAAUUAGCUGGGCGUGGUGGUGCGCACCUGUAAUCCCAGCCACUCAGGAGGCUGAGGCAGGAGAAUCACUUGGACACUGGAGGCAGAUGUUGCAGUGAGCUGAGAUUGUACCACUGCACUCCAGCCUGGGCAACAGAGUGAGACUCUGUCUCAAAAAAGAAAAAAAAAAAGAGCAAAAGAGUUAGGAAAGUAAUGAGGUUGGCCCAGAAGGACUAGAGAGACCUCAGCAGACAGAUCUCUGCAGACAGACAGACUCCCACAGCAAGGGAGGAAUGCCAGUGGGAGGGGAAGAAGGAGCAGGACUGAAGGCACAGACUAGAGCUUGGAGGACAAGACAAGGAAACCUGUCCUGUGUUCCUCUGGGUACUCCAAGGUACAUGAUCUGCUAUGUGAGCAUAGAAGCUGUUGAUCUAGUAUAUGCAGGAAAAAGUGGACAGUUGUCAUCCUCAGAACUUACCUGCUAGUGGGAUUUAUGGGACAACCCAGUUCUGUUGUGCUAGACUAUCUAGCUCUAUGCUUGAAACAUACAUAGAUAAUAUUGUUCAUGUGUGCGUAUAUGUGUGUGCAUGUACGUGUGUGUGUGUGCAUGGUCAGUUGUACCAGCAAGAGUAAUAUAAUGGUUCAAAGAUCCUCAUCUUGGAAAAUGCCUCAUGCUAUGAAGUUGAAUACUGCAUAUCACCAGAUAUCAAAGUCCCAUAAGAGGGUAAAAUCACCUUUAAAUUGAGAACUGAAGUUAUAUUUGUGGGCCCUCUUCUAUCUCCUUGUGAGACAUCCUUGUGCUAAUCUGGAUGCGAAACUUGCGUGAUAGGAGAAGACACGCUGAACCGGAAGGUCUGUGCAAUGUGGAAGGAGGUGUGCUUUUCAUGUCUCUUAUACUCAUUGAACCAUGAGUGCAAAAUGGCUUCACCUGUGCCACAGUACUUGGCGGGAUCAUGAUGUCAAUUAGGUUUCAUGAGACUCUGUAAAGCAAAUUUGUUUAUUUGCUCACUGAGUUAUCCAAAGACAAAAGGAGGACUGUGCCUCCAGCACAAUAAUUAAUUAUAAAGUCAUCACACAUAUUUCAUUAAUGUUGGCUGGCUUCUCAGAAGUCCCUCUCAGAGGGCAGGGGCCAUGUGUAAGUAUAACUCUAUUUAGCAUCUACUAAAAAGACACUUUGAUUGGAAUCUGUGUGAUCAUAAACUUCUUUACUAGGUUGUGUGUUCCUUGAAGGAAAGGAUUUUAUCUUUCAUUUAUUCAAUAAAUAUUUAUAACUUUAUAAAGUAGUAAAAAAUACCAAAAAUAUCUUCAUGCAGCUUAUGUUCUGUUUUUUAAAAUUUAAUUAUUUUUAAUUGGUAAAUAAUAAUUAUAUAUAUUUAUGGUGUGCGAUUUGUUAUAUGUAUAUAAUUGCAGAAUGAUUAAAUCAAGCAAUUAAAAUAUUCAUCACCUCACAUAUUUAUCAUUUCUUUGUGGUAAGAAUGUUUAAACCUAGAAGGACCCUAUAAAAUUGAACUUUAUACUCUUUCACCAGCAUCUCCCCUUUACCUAUUCACCUGUCCCCAGCUCCCCAGCCUGUGAUAAUGACCACUCCACUCGUUACUUCUACUGAGUUUGACUAUUUUAGAUUCCACAUAUAAGUAAGAUGAUGCAGUAUUUGUCUUUGUCUUAUUUCAUUUAAUGUAAUGUCCUCUAGAUUCAUCCAUGUUGUCACAAUGACAGAAUUUCCCUCAUUUUUAAGGUUGAAUUGUAUUCCAUUUGUGUAUAUAUACCACAUUUUCUUUUUUUAUUCAUCUUUUUCCUGAACACUUGGGUUGCUUCCAUAUCUGUGCUAUUGUGAAUAAUGAUGCGAUAAACAUGAGAGUUCACGUAUCUCCUAGACACAGCAAUUUCAAUUCCUUUGGUUUUCUACCCAGAAGUGGGAUUGCUGAAUCACAUGGUAAUUCCAUUUUUAAUUUUCUGAGGAGCUUUCAUACUAUGGCUCUGUAAUAACUAUACUAAUUUAUAUUCCCACCAAUAGUGUCCAAGGACUCCCUUUUCUCCACAUCUUGCCAAUACUUAUCUUUCAUCAUCUUGGUAAUAGCUCUUCUAACAGGGAAUAUUGUGGUUUCAAUUUGCAUUUCCCUGAUAAUUAGUAAUGUUGAGCCUUUUUUCACGUAUCUGUUGGUGAUAUGUAUGUCCCUUUUUUUGAAAUAUCUAUUCAGGUCUUUUCACCCACUUUUUUAAUCAGGUCAUUUGGGGGUUUUUUGCUAUUAAAUUCCAUAUAGAUUUGGAUAUUGAUUCCUAAUCAGAUGCAUUGUUUGCAAAUAUUUUCUCACAUGCUGUGGGUUGUCUUUUCACUCUGUUGUUUCCUUUUCAGAAACUUUUAAAUAUGAUGUAAUCAUCCCAUUUGUCUAUUUCUGCCUUUAUGGCCUGCACUUUUGGGGUAGUAUCCAAUAAUUCAUUGCUCAGACCAAUAUCAUGGAGCUUUCCUCUUUGUUUUCUUCUAGUAGUUUUAUAGUUUCAGGUCUUAUACAUCGAGUAUUUCUCUAACACUUCUAUAAUGCUGACUGUAUUCCAAGCGCAGGUCAAAGCUCUUGACAUAUAUUAACAACUUAAAGCAACAACCCAAUGAGGCAGGUACUAGCCUAUUUCUAUCUUAUAUACUGAAGGAGACUAAAGCAGAAGCAGUUUAAGUGUUGUCCAAGGGUGCACAACUAGUAAGUGGUGGUGCUGGAAUUUGUACCCUGGCAGUUUGGCUUCAAAGUCUACCUGUGUUUUCACUUUAUUAUCUCUUUCCUUUUAAAUUACCUUUUUAUUACUAGUGCCUAGCAUAGCUCUCUGCAAAGAAUAAAUGAGUGCUAAUUGAAUAAGCCAAUGAAACAAUGACAUUUAUCAUGCUAAUGGUGAUGAUGAUGAAAAGAUACUGAUAAUAAUGAUUUAUAUUAAUUGAGUUGCCACCCAUACUAUGUUUCAUAAUUUGUAAGCACCAUAUCAUGAGAUCUUCUUUUUUUUUUAAUUACUAUACUUUAAGUUCUGGGAUACAUGUGCAGAACGUGCAGGUUUGUUACAUAGGUAUACAUGUGCCUUGGUGGUUUGCUGCACCCACCAACCCGUCAUCUAGGUUUUAAGCCCCGCAUGUAUUAGGUAUUUGUCCUAAUUCUCUCCCUCCCCUUGCCCCCAACCCCGCAACAGGUGCUGGUGUGUGAUGUUCCCCUCCCUGUGUCCAUACGUUCUCAUUGUUCAACUUCCACUUAUGAGUGAGAACAUGCAGUGUUUGGUUUUCUGUUCCUUUGUUAGUUUGCUGAGAAUGAUGGUUUCCAGCUUCAUCUAUGUCCCUGCAGAGGACAUGAACUCAUUCUUUUUUAUGGCUGCAUGGAAUUCUAUAGUGUAUAUGUGCCACAUUUUCUUCAUCCAGUCUAUCAUUGAUGGGCAUUUGGGUUGGUUCCAAGUCUUUGCGAUUGUGAAUAGUGCUGCAAUAAACAUACGUGUGUAUAUGUCUUUAAAGGAGAACGAUUUAUAA